AAAAUGUACGAAACGAAUCGACUCACCAGUGUAACACCAGGCCGGCCAGACAACAGGGCUCUCGGUGUCCAGCUCCCUCAUUCUCUCAGCGACCCGCGGACAUCUCCACUCCGUACGCCCCGACGUAGCGGUAGAUGGUGUAGUUUCGCUUUUAAGUGGGGAGCGAUUCGAUCAGGGUUGCUACACUCGAGAAGCGAGAAGAGGGACCGUCGACGCCUCAGAGAAAUAAAAGUUGGAAGGUUGAAAAGAAAGGAGAAGGAAAUGACAGGUAAGUUCGGAAGGAAGUUUAGGAUAAACGCGGACCAAUUGAAACGGAUUUCUAAUUUUCUUCCCUCGC
rnacentral:misc_RNA from 1 species